AACCAUUCCCCUCCACCCUCUCUCCCCGCACACGCACCCAGACGCCAGACCUAGCGACCACCAUGGCAGCAGCGGCGGCGCCGCCACCGGUCCCCAACGAGCUCGUCUAAGAGAUCCUCCUCCGAAUCUCGCCCGACGGCCCAGCCUGCCCCCUCCGUGCCCCCCUCGUCCGCAAGACCUGGAGCCACACCGUCUCGCACCCGGGUUUCCGACGCCGCCUCCACGAGAUCCACCGGGCAGCCCCCCGCGCUCGGAUUCCUCCACAACAGGGCCGACGAGCGCAAACCCUGCUUCAUCCCACCACCGCCUCGCCCUUCUUCCAUGCCGCCCCAGACUGCCGCUCCUGGUGGGCCCGCCACGGCCGCGCCCUCUUCCUCUCCAAGGACGGGUGCGACCACCGCGGCUGCCUCGCGGGUCCUUUCCGCUUGGCCUUCCUCUUCGCCGUCCAGGAAGACACUGACGACGGUGAGCAUGUCACAUCGGAGACUGGCGCCUGGGUCGAGCUGACCUAGAUGCACUGCGAUGGCGAGUUCUCCAUGGAAUUCACAGAACAUUCCAGCGUGCUCGUUGGCAGGACAGUGCGUCGAUCAUGGGGCAUGACUGUUCGCCCCACCAGGCGGAGGACAGUGGGCUGGGAGUAGUCCAAGACCUGGAUCCGCAUCUCAAAUUGUGGACAAGAGUGGCGAGUGACAUGCACGACUUGCUCUUGUGAGAUUCUACCUGGGCAAUUUGGCCCCAACUGGUGCUCUCUUCAAUGCAGAACAUAGAGUGCAAGUGCCGGGCUUUGCUGAGGGAGCAAUGUCAUAUUUGUUAACACGGUCGCCGGCCUCUUCACAUCGAUCUACAAUCGGAGCAGUCGUGCAAAUGUCCAUGGCUUUUAUAAUUUGAUUCCAGUUCUCAGCUUCCACACUCAUGUACCCCGAGGCAAGCGCACCAGACUUUGCCAGCUUCAAAGCCCAGUGAGGAGGCAGGUUAUGAGGAGAAGGGGGGAGAGGAGGAGAAACCAGUAAACCGGCACAUAAGCAGCUAUUGGACGAGGGAACCAAUGCUAUCAAGGAAGGGGACUUUGUCAACACCUUUGAAUGCGUCAGCCAUGACCUCAAGAUCAGGGCUCCUUGUUAUGGAGAAGGUGCUAGCACGCUCAACAAACAUGGAUAUGCCUUGCUACCGAAAGAUUCUCUUGGUGAUGUUCCUAAGAGGGCACCAAAUGAGGAAUCAGCGAAGGGUACAACCAGCAAAGAUGAUGCCGGGAACCUGACGACCUCUGAUAGCAAUGUUGAUGGUGCUCCACCUUCGGAGAAGGCCGGUGAGUUUUUCUAUUCAGCUCAAAGAAGUGCUGUAUCACAAGAGAGGCAAUUGGAAGCAAAUCAGUCUGGUCAGAAUUCACCGGAGAGUCCUUCCUUAGAGCAGCUGAAAGAUUAGUGAGACUGAUUGAAUUCUGAACAUGUAACAUCUGUUCCAUGUGAGAGAAAUAGCAUGUCGAUAUCAUCUUGAAAUAAUCACAGCUGGGGGACGAGCUUGGUAGCUGAGGGUGAUGUGCAGAGUGGGAGGAAGGAGGUGUGAGGCUUGGAACUCUCCUUGUGAGGGCUCAGGGACAGCGGUUAGGAGCAUGGCAGGUGUCCAACUCGACUUCCUCGGCAACAGCAACAAGAAGGGUGGCCAUGGCGGCAAGGGAGGAGACAACAACCAGCAGAGCAAUGAGAUCGCUAAGUCUCUGACCAUGUCUCUUCCUGCUCGAUUCGCUUGGCUCCUGCGCUGAUUUCUCUUUGUUUUCCCAGGUUUGUUCUGGUAGCAGAAUGGUGCAGAACAACUGAGAAGCGGACUAUAUGGACAUGAUGCGUGAUCUACACAUCGAUGACUAUUUGCUCAAGUGGAACAUCCAAACAGCCAACCUGUUCAUGGUGGAGGGGGCGAUGCCUCCUAAAUUCUCCAAUUCAUAAGUAUCCACUGCUGCUGGUUAUGUUUGAACAUACUUUAGAUUUGGAAGAUUCACAAAAUGUUACAAGCUUCCUCGAUGCACUUUACUAUUGAAAGAUGCAUAAAACGUGAAGGAAGAAGUCACAUUUUGUGAGUAGUCGUUUUGAUGAUUGUACUAAUUUAUCUCUUAACUUGCUAGAUUCUAUUGAUGUUUUCUGAAUUUAAAAGAUCCUAGUGGAUGCUCGUUCUAGAGAACAAAAUAUUUUCUACUUGACUGUUCUGCAGAUGCUCAGGUGCAACCUGGAAUGAUUGGGUUUAGGACAUUAGGUGGCAGUAUAAUUCUCAUGCUGACGACAGUUAUUUUUUUGGCAAGGAUUCAGUGGUUGUCUGUGGCAUGUGAUAUCGUAGAUUGUGCCUCAACUUUGCUGCUAACCUUACAUCACCCCUUUGGCAUCGGCACAGUUCACUCAAGUUGAUGUUGUAAGCCUGAGUGAUGCUUUUCAGUUCAACUAGGAACUCGUCAUUAUUGGAGUCUUUCAUCUGUAUAUACCAACGCAAGGCGGGAGAAGAAGCAGAUUGAUUGAUGAAAGAAACGCAAGAAAAAGAGAAAAAGAGCCGCUAAAUGAUUUAUGGGGCAUGUGACUUAUCCCUGUUGGUUCUCCUUUCCGCAAACUAAACCAAUAAUCAAUAUUGUCAGUUUGAGUGUAUGCUGGAUGUGAGAGUUAAUGAAGAUGGUCAGUCGUGCUGUUGAAAGUACACAAGCUGUUAAGGUCUAUCGAAAAACAUGUAGAUAUGUUUGGGAGCCUUUGUUCCAGCCAACAAAUUGCUCCUCAGAAAUUUAUAUUUUGCUCUGGUGAUUAAGUAUAAAGCAAUGCCUCUUGAAGUAGCUCCUCGGAAUCUUCUACAGGGCAUAUUUUUUUGACAAAGUCUACAGGACAUAUGACUAAGACAAGACUCAUGCCAUAAGGUUCUCCAAAAUCCUUUGUUCAAGCAGAAAACCGCUUUACACAACAACCUCAUUUUUAUCCAGUUUGGGGAAGGCAACAGUUCUACUCACGAUGGUGCUGCAUGAAGCUGGAAGUACUCAUUAUCCUGUUGGCUCUGCUCUGGCCAAUAAUGAAAUAAUCUAUGCGCAAGACUGCAAGUACUGACGUAUAUAAUGGUCACAAAUAUCCACAUCAUUAUGCCUUUGUUUUCACCUCGGGUUUCGUAUUAUGGAGAAGGUGCUCUGGAUGGUCCUAGCACGCUCAAAAACAUGGAUGUGCCUUGCUACCCUCCGGGUGAUGUUCCUAAUACGGGCACCAAAUGAAGAAUCGGUAAGGGUACAACCAAUAAAGAUGAUGCCGGGAACUUGACGACCUCUAAUAUCAAUGUUAACGGUGCUCCACCUUCGGAGAAAGAUUCUUUGUUCUCUGAAUUACAUGCAUUUUGGUGAACAAAAAGUAUGAUAUGGUGUUCCUGGUGAAAAUGCAGUGAAGCUAGAAGAUGCUAUGAGAAGGAACUUGCCAAGACAGUUUGAAGAGCAGCCUGAUCUCGUGCAUGAGCUGUGACAACCACUGACGGCUACCUGUGAUGCUGCUGACUGCUGCGCUUUCGUCUCAGGCACUGGCGGUGGCGGUUCCGCCAUUCAUGGCGGUGACCAUGGUGCAAGGUCCUUUGCGUGGUAUCCAAGUUUCUCCUUGCUCCUUCGUCGGCUUGCUUGAACACUACCUCCCCUCGAAGUACCUGGUUUCUUAGAUUGUUACUGCUAGACCCGCACAAUGAGAACUGUGGUAUGGUGCCUCGAGUGUCUGAGCAUCUGUUCUUAAGAAUCCAGAAGGCAA